CCUGCCGUUGCCGGCGACCGGCGCACGGGUGAGUAACACGUAUGCAACCUGCCCGUGGCAGGGGGAUAAGCGGGGGAAACCCCGUCUAAUACCGCGUAACGCGGCCUUGGGGCAUCCCAAGGCCGCCAAAGGGAGCAAUCCCGGCCACGGAUGGGCAUGCGGCGCAUUAGCUAGUCGGCGGGGUAACGGCCCACCGAGGCGACGAUGCGUAGGGGUUCUGAGAGGAAGGUCCCCCACAUUGGAACUGAGACACGGUCCAAACUCCUACGGGAGGCAGCAG
rnacentral:rRNA from 1 species